GUGGAAGGAAGCAAGGCCUCGCCAAAGAUGGUUGAGAAAGACCGUGAGCCUCUACCCAGGCAGGAUCUUGAAGCCAAGGUGGUGUUCUGUUCUCCUCGUAAUGGUGGCAAUAAGUAAGAAGAGAGCACGCUAUCUUCAGAGGAAUUAAAUCUGAAAUUCUCCCUGGAGGUGGAAGAAGGGGCUCUCCUCUGGCAUGCACGCCAUUGGAAGGUUAAAACGACAGAGAAGCCUCCAUGUUAAGCUAAUUGUGCUGACACUGGAAAUAGGACAAAAUGGGAAGAUGUGAAAAAAUGUCACCAUUACCUCUUAAAAAGGCACACUCUUGUUUAAUCCUACCCUGAAGACACUAAUACCAGGGGAGUAGCACUGAAGACCCAGCGGAGGAAGCAUUCCUAGCCUGAAAACAAUGCCAGCACUCUGUGUGUUGAGUUUCAACUUUACCUGGCCUUGGUUUCAUUUGAAAGGAAGCCUUUUUAAUUCACCCAAAGGUGUGAUCCACGCCAGGGGGCGUGGUGGCUCACACCUGAGGAUCUUGCGAGUUCGAGACCAGCCUGGGCUGCAACGUGAACUCAAGGCCAGCCUGAACUGCAUAGUGAGACCCCGUCUCAAAAAAAAAAAAGAAAAAGAAAAAGAAAUAAAGGUGUGAUCCGCAAUAAGAAUAUAAA